UUUAUACUCCCUCCGUCCCAUAUUAAGUGACUUUCUAUUACAUGUAUCUAGAUGUUUUUUAGUUAUAGAUACAUUCAUAUUUGGACAAAUUUGAGUCACUUAAUAUGGAACGGAGGGAGUACAUA
rnacentral:pre_miRNA from 1 species